UAUCAAUCGAGAUCCUGUAUCUAGUGAGAUGCUGAAGAUGCGGCAACAACUAGAGUUUUUGCAGGCAGAACUCUGCGCCCGUGGGGGAGGUGCUUCUUCUGAUGAAAUUCAGGUUCUCAAGGAUAGAAUUUCAUGGCUUGAAGCUAAUAAUGAGGAGCUAAGUCGAGAAUUGCAUGAGUACCGCAAAAGAGGCUCUGGCACUGAGCAGUGUGGGGCAGAAGUGAAGGCUAAUGGUGUCUUUUCAGUAAAAAGCGAAGGUCUCAAAAGGGGCUUGCAAAGUAUAGAACCAUCUGACUAUCCAAUGAGUGAAAAUAGUGAUUCAGGAGACAUGGAGGACGAAGCAACAAAAGAGUGGGAACAUACCCUCCUGCAAGAUUCAAUGGACAAAGAAUUGAACGAAUUAAAUAGGCGCUUAGAGCAAAAGGAGUCUGAAAUGAAACUUUAUGGAGGCUCUGAUAAUACCAUGGCUCUGAAGCAACAUUUUGGAAAGAAACUUUUGGAACUUGAAGAGGAGAAAAGAGCAGUGCAG
rnacentral:misc_RNA from 1 species